rnacentral:pre_miRNA from 1 species
UAUAAUUUUUAACUCUUCGUCUUAUUCAAAAAAUUUUUACGAUUGACAUUUUUGUUUUUAUUAGAUGAUAAAUCAUAGAUAAUACUUUACGUAUGACUAAUUUUUUUUAAUUUUCUAAAAUUUUUUAAAUAAAACGAACGGUCAAACAUUAGAUACGAAAACCGAUG